rnacentral:misc_RNA from 1 species
AUGGGUUCGAGCAGUUUUCCAGAACUCAUAAUCUCAUCGGAUGAGUAAUCAAGCUGAUGAGUAAUCGUGCUGAUGAGUAAUCGUGCUGAUGAGUAAUCGUGCUGAUGAGUAAUCAGGAGAUGAGGAAUCAGGAGAUGAAACGUGAUGCUCAUACACACCAGCCAUGACUGUGCUGUCCCAUUCAAAGUUCACGUGACCACAUUCACGACCACAGGGAUAACUGCACUGGGUCGUGUUUACGAUCUUUGCAGGAGUUACAGGCCGGGGGGUCGUGUCAACCUUGGUUUACGACAAACCUCCACACCAUGUCUGCCAAUUAAAUCGCGACGAGUCAGCAAAAAGCUGAUCAUACAGAAAGAGCAAAUGUAUAGAAAGAGCAAAUGUAUAGAAAGAGCAAAUGAUAAAGC